rnacentral:lncRNA from 1 species
GUUGCUAAUCUCCAUUGGAUCGCUGCAUGGGGUCGCAGAUAGUGGUUGUGGCAAGUGGCAUUGACAGGUACAGUUUUCUUCUCUUCUUCUUCCUAUCUAUGUGCAAGAAGAAUAGAGGAUGUUGCGUGGUUGACUGUAUGUUGUUUGAAUUAAAGUGCAAAGUCCAUUUUGAAAAGUGUCGGUUAUUCAUGUCGUUAGUUAGUCAAACAAACAUGUUACUCGGUAUCCAUGAGAAAAUAAGUUUGUAGGUGCUGGGUGGAUGUGCCCAUUUUUUGUGCGGUCGAAGGAAACAGGUAAAGAAGAACUUAACUUAGUUGGCACAUGGAUGCGGUCCCAUAUGGUAAAUUUGUCCCCCCCCCUCAUACACACAAUGCUCAUCUCCAAUUGGAUGCUUUCUUUUAAGAGCAGAUGACACAAUAUAAGAAAAGUUAAUAACAUUGACUGCUAAAAUUUGGACGAUUAGAGCCUAACUGAAUUAGUUGAAUUUAGACUUUCUGAUAUGGAUAAGCAUACACAGAUAGAGGAUCGACAUGACUGGGUCCUAUAGAAAAAAAUGGUCCCAAGAAAUUGGUGAAGAGGUGAUAAAAGCUAUAUAUUUAGAAAAUCAGAUUGUACUAUUGAUUCUAAUCAAUGGUAUGAAAGAUUUAGAAAAUCAGUUUGUACUAUUGCUUCUAAUCAAUGGUAUGAACGAUUUAGAAAAUCACUUUGUAUUAUUGCCUCUAAUUAAUGGUAUGAAAGAUUUAGAAAAUCAACCUACACUAUUGCUUUAUAGGAAACAAUAUGGUGAACAACCAGGAACACCCAGUUUAUUACAUCGUUUAUGUUUGUGCUUUAUCCUGAUUGAAGUUUCAGUCAUAGGUCACGGACGGGACUAUUUCUAAUAAAAGGUCAUGCUUCUAUAUGGUGUUUAUUUGCUAUGAUGUUUACUGUCGGUGGUACCAUUAGAUUGUUGACUAUAUUUGUUUUUUACUCUGUUCUUCUAGGGUGAAUUUUGCUGUGAUUUUCGUCUGUCCAUCCAAAGGAAGUAGAUGAUUGAUAGAGAUUCAGAGGGAGAAAUUGAUAUAGAGAGUUGUUGUGGUUCCUAUUUCUUCAGGUAGUUACUUUUCUUGCAGUUUCCUUUUAGUUACGAGCUUCCUCUACAGUAUAGUCAUUUCUUUAUUUCACUACCAGUCCCUGUUGAGUGUUGACUACAAUGUAACCAUGCAUUGGCAGCAUGAAUUGCAGUAGUUCUUAAUCAGUUAGAAAAAAAGCAACCUGAUCAAUCUUGCUUCAGAUUAUGUUUCUAUUGCUAUUGCGGCCUGAGGUCCAUCCCCCGUCGCCCCUCCUCUCAAGCCGCUACGGUGGCCUAUACGUUUUAGCUGGUUCCGUCAUGCCGGGCUGCCCCAGUACCUGACCCAGGGUUUGGUGGGCGAGCUCACUACCAUCCUCCCGGUGGUCUUCUUCCUCGCUUGAUUCUUGGGCGCCCCAUCUAUUCUGGACGAGCAUCUUCCAGUGGUGGGUGAGGAGAUCUGGCACGAACCAUGCACCGAGAGGAGCUCGACUUCUGCUGCCUCUGCACGCCCUAGGUAUAGCAGAUCGUACACCCUACCCUUUUUUUAUUUGUUUCAGUAGAGUAGGAUGAACACCCGCAGCUCAGUCUGGGUUUGUAAAUUGUGUUUUCCUCUCCAAUAUGCUCUCUUUAUGCUUCAACUGUUAUGUUUGACCAUCACUCAUGUAUAUGCACUGCAUGUUAUUCCUAAAUUUUGUUAGCUCCAGUCUGCAACUACCCAUACACAAUAAGAACAAUUAGAUAAAUGUUGCAUUGGAUGCCAAUAGCUUGGCCAAUCCAUUGUCUAUUUGUCUUCUUUAGACCACAUUGCAUUGUUAGCUCCAGUUUGUUGCCUAUUGUUCGUGUCAAACUCUUGCUCCGAUUUCACAUAGUCUAAUUAGUGUUCUAUAGAGCAAUGCUUUUGGGUUAUGACUAAUCUCUCAAUUGUUUAGGUGGUGGAAAUUCACAUUCUUUUUCAAAGGCAUAUUUAGUUCGUUUAUCCUACAUUAUCUAUGACAAGUCGAUAAAAGAUGUGUAUGUUAUUUGUUCUUGCUCAUGCUCUUUUCUUAUAUCUGUUCAGGCCUAAUCUCACCAAACUUUGCUACACUUCACAUCAUGAGGGAAGGAGGGUAAGUAAGUAAAUUGGCGACAACAUAUCAUAUUCCUUUAAGUCUUACUAAGUCCGAAUUUGAAGUAGUGUAGUAUCCCAUCAUUCCGUCAGCUAGACAUUCAACUCACUGUGGACUCAAUCACAAGUAUUUGAAUUUCUCAUAUAUUAGUUAUUAAAACUAUCAGUAGUGUAGUAUCCAAUCAUUCUAUAAGCCAAACAUUAAAGUGGUCGCGGAUUGGGUCAGAAGUAUUUGAAUUUCUCAUAUAAUCUUGUGCUUUUUACUUUUAUCUGAGUAUGUUACGAAAAGGACCAGUAAUAACUAAUGUGAUUUGAAAACACAUAAGAUCUCAUGAGUUAGGAUCGACAUAACCAUGCCCUCUGAAACAGUCACCAAACUUUAAGGAAGUUUGUAUAUGUGUCUUCAUUCUUAAGGAUUAGGAGGACCACCUAUCACCCACUGUCCAAAACCUUUCAUGGGGGGUCAGUGCAUGAAUUGUUUUCUUGCUAUACAUACACACACUAUAUGCAUAAUUUGGCUAACACGAGAUGUCUUUCAACAGAUGUGUCCAUCGCAACACUCAAGCAAAUCAGAUGACAAGGUGUUUGGAGCAAGCUACUCAUAGCCAACUACAUAGUUUAGUACAAUGUUGUAUUAAAGCAGUGUAAAUAAAUA